GCUUCGGUGGUGUAGUGGUAGAGCACGCAUCCCCGGUCAGGAUGAAAGGCGGGUGGAUUCCCGCCUGAGAGCC